GAUGAAGAACGUAGCGAAAUGCGAUAAGUAAUGUGAAUUGCAGAAUUCAGUGAAUCAUCGAAUCUUUGAACGCACAUUGCGCCCGCCAGCACUCUGGCGGGCAUGCCUGUUCGAGCGUCAUUUCAACCAUCAAGCCCCCAGGGGCUUGUGCUGGGGCCCUGCGGCUGCCCGCAGGCCCUGAAAACCAGUGGCGGGCUCGCUAGUCACACCGAGCGCAGUAGCACAUCUCGUUCAGGGCGUGCGGCGGGCUCCUGCCGUGAAACCCCCCACUGUAACCCCAAAGGUUGACCUCGGAUCAGGUAGGAAUACCCGCUGAACUUAAGCAUAUCAAUAAGCGGAGGA
rnacentral:misc_RNA from 1 species